rnacentral:snRNA from 1 species
UAGUAUUAUAGUUCUUUUAGAAUUUGUCCAGCAGGCUUUUCUAUUAGACCCUG